rnacentral:rRNA from 3 species
UUAGGUGCCUAUAUCGGCGGUGUCCACCUCUUCCCAUUCCGAACAGAGAAGUUAAGCCCGCCAGAGCCGAUGGUACUGCAGUAACAUGUGGGAGAGUAGGUCGGUGCCAAAU